rnacentral:misc_RNA from 1 species
UCAAACUUGGUCAUUUAGAGGAAGUAAAAGUCGUAACAAGGUUUCCGUAGGUGAACCUGCGGAAGGAUCAUUACCGAGUAUCGGGGCCCAGAGCCCCUACUCCCACCCUGUGUUGACUUGAAAACGUUGCUUUGGCGGACCGGUGGCCCCACCGCCGGUCGCUGACUGGAGAGCGUCCGCCAGAGGCUCGAUUUUAAACCCUUUCAAACGGUGAAGUCUGAGGCCCUUUAGAAAAUGAAUCAAAACUUUCAACAACGGAUCUCUUGGUUCUGGCAUCGAUGAAGAACGCAGC